GAGGAACCCAAGGGCUGAGCCCACUAAUAAAUGAAGAUUACUGAGUUUCUACUGACUCCAAAAUAGAGUUAAAGAACAGAAAAUGCUGAAUGCACUCAGAAGGCCCUGAAGAGGAAAACAGCGUCAAUAUUUGAUGCUACCUGACAUACU